rnacentral:lncRNA from 1 species
UGGCAGAAUUCUGUACCAACAUAAGUUUUUUUGAGACUGAUUAAAUUAUGAAUUAAAUUUUAAUUAAUUUAAAUUAAAUUAAAUUUAAUUAGAUUUAAUUUAAUUUAAUUUAAUAUUAAUUGGAUUCAAUUAUCCAAAUCAGAUUUAGAUUUCAAGCCUGAUUGGAUCAGGCUUGACAGCCUUUUCAAAUUUGGCUCGUUUCGGACUCGACUUGAAUCCGAUUAAGGUUCUAUUUGAACC